GCCUGGCUGGCUUAGUUGGUAGAGCAUGAGACUCUCCAUCUCAGGGUCGUGAGUUCAGACCCCAUGUUGGGCU